CAGGUCUAGCUUGCUAGAUGCUGACGAGUGGCGGACGGGUGAGUAACGCGUAGGAAUCUACCCCGCGGUGGGGGAUAACACGAGGAAACUCGUGCUAAUACCGCAUACGCUCUACGGAGGAAAAUUUUUUGCCGUGGGAUGAGCCUGCGUUAGAUUAGCUUGUUGGUAGGGUAAUGGCCUACCAAGGCGAUGAUCUAUAGCUGUUCUGAGAGGAAGAUCAGCCACACUGGGACUGAGACACGGCCCAGACUCCUACGGGAGGCAGCAGUGGGGAAUCUUGGACAAUGGGGGAAACCCUGAUCCAGCAAUGCCGCGUGUGUGAAGAAGGCCUGCGGG
rnacentral:rRNA from 1 species